GAUGAACGCUGACAGAAUGCUUAACACAUGCAAGUCAACUUGAACUUCGGUUUGGGUGGCGGACGGGUGAGUAACGCGUAAAGAACUUGCCUCACAGAUAGGGACAACAUUUGGAAACGAAUGCUAAUACCUGAUAUUAUGAUUUUAGGGCAUCCUAGGAUUAUGAAAGCUAUAUGCGCUGUGAGAGAGCUUUGCGUCCCAUUAGCUAGUUGGAGAGGUAACGGCUCACCAAGGCGAUGAUGGGUAGCCGGCCUGAGAGGGUGAUCGGCCACAAGGGGACCGAGACACGGCCCUUACUCCUACGGGAGGCAGCAGUGGGGAAUAUUGGACAAUGGACCAAGAGUCUGAUCCAGCAAUUCUGUGUGCACGAUGAAGUUUUUCGGAAUGUAAAGUGCUUUCAGUUGGGAAGAAAAAAAUGACGGUACCAACAGAAGAAGUGACGGCUAAAUACGUG
rnacentral:rRNA from 1 species